rnacentral:rRNA from 1 species
AUUGAACGCUGGCGGCAGGCCUAACACAUGCAAGUCGAGCGGAUGAAGGGAGCUUGCUCCUGGAUUCAGCGGCGGACGGGUGAGUAAUGCCUAGGAAUCUGCCUGGUAGUGGGGGAUAACGUCCGGAAACGGGCGCUAAUACCGCAUACGUCCUGAGGGAGAAAGUGGGGGAUCUUCGGACCUCACGCUAUCAGAUGAGCCUAGGUCGGAUUAGCUAGUUGGUGGGGUAAAGGCCUACCAAGGCGACGAUCCGUAACUGGUCUGAGAGGAUGAUCAGUCACACGGGAAGGGAGACAGGGUCCAGGCUCCUACGGGAGGCAGCAGUGGGGAAUAGUGGGCAAUGGGCGAAAGCCUGAUCCAGCCGUGCGGCGUGUGUGAAGAAGGUCUUGGGAGUGGAAAGCACCUUAAGUUGGGAGGAAGGGCAGUAAGUUGAUACCUUGCGGUUGCGACGUUACCAGCAGAAGAAGCACCGGCUAACUUCGUG